UACAGAGGUCCCAAGCGUUGUUCGGAUUCACUGGGCGUAAAGGGUGCGUAGGCGGCGAGGUAAGUCAGAUGUGAAAUCCCGGAGCUUAACUCCGGAACUGCAUUUGAUACUGCUUUGCUUGAGGACUGGAGAGGAGAUCGGAAUUCACGGUGUAGCAGUGAAAUGCGUAGAUAUCGUGAGGAAGGCCAGUGGCGAAGGCGGAUCUCUGGACAGUUCCUGACGCUGAGGCACGAAGGCCAGGGGAGCAAACGGG
rnacentral:rRNA from 1 species